UGGGGUGGACGUUAACAGCGUCCAUUUAUCUAGCUCUAGGUCGGGGACAACCACUGGAAACGGUGGCUAAUACCGGAUAAGCCGUGAGGUAAAAGAUUUAUUGCCUAGAGAUGAGCUCGCGUCUGAUUAGCUAGUUGGUGUGGUAAGAGCGCACCAAGGCGACGAUCAGUAGCUGGUCUGAGAGGAUGAUCAGCCACACUGGGACUGAGACACGGCCCAGACUCCUACGGGAGGCAGCAGUGGGGAAUUUUCCGCAAUGGGCGAAAGCCUGACGGAGCAAUACCGCGUGAGGGAGGAAGGCUCUUGGGUUGUAAACCUCUUUUCUCAAGGAAUAAGAAAGUGAAGGUACUUGAGGAAUAAGCAUCGGCUAACUCCGUGCCAGCAGCCGCGGUAAUACGGAGGAUGCAAGCGUUAUCCGGAAUGAUUGGGCGUAAAGGGUCCGCAGGUGGCAUUGAAAGUCUGCUGUUAAAGAGUGAGGCUUAACCUCAUAAAAGCAGUGGAAACUACAAAGCUAGAGUGCGUUCGGGGUAGCAGGAAUUCCUGGUGUAGCGGUGAAAUGCGUAGAGAUCAGGAAGAACACCGGUGGCGAAAGCGUGCUACUAGGCCGUAACUGACACUGAGGGACGAAAGCUAGGGGAGCG
rnacentral:rRNA from 1 species